CUUUUUAUAUAUCUAACACCAUUAUAAAUGCUGAAAGCAAAGUGAGGUUUGGGGUGGAAGUUAACAGCUCGUAACCCCCUGAAGGGUCCCAACCCCCAGUUUGAGAACCCCUGAACUAAAGCAAAAGAUCAUCAAAAACCCAACUUGUGUUUGAGCCUGCUAAAGGAGCUGUGCUAUUCCUUUCUAUCUCACACUUUUUUUUAUCAUUUUCAUUAGCGUUUGAUCAGGCUAAAGAGCAGCAGUUGCCACCACUGUCCUCUUUUUGGAAAGUAAAACAAAAACAAAAGCCCACCCACCAACCCCUGUGUAUCAGCAGAAGCAAUGCCAUUUACAUUAAAACAGCAAAAAAAAUUGCAAGCAAUGUGAGCAUGUGCACACAUUUCCUGGAAUCUCUCGUGAUCAAAUUACCCAUUGCACUUGUGUGUAGUUAGUGUCAGAGAGAGAAGGGGUCCUUCGUGACUGUUUGCUGAGCUGCAGUUUACAGUUAUGUAAUAUUUUGUUUCAGGAGUGAGGUUGAUGGGAGGCAGAGCCGAGGAUGUCUCUCCUCUUGGUGAAAGCCACAAGGGGGAAAAAAAUCUCAUUAACUCUUGGCCAGUGGACGUUAUGCAGCCAGAAUACUCUAUGUACACACAGCACGUUGUAAUUGCUGAAUGUUUCUAGGCUGAUGUUGAAAGCCUACCAAGUUGUCAAUCACAAUCUAAAGUGUAAAACAGCUUGGAAAGCCCCUGUCAGUGAAGAAGAGUCCGUAUGGCAGAAGAUUGGAAUACUGGGCGUAAUACAGAUCUGUCAGUCUAUCGUCACUUGAAGAAAGAAUAUCACUGAUGAGCGUCCUCUGAGACUUAGCCCACCCUCCAGGAGUUCUCGAAGAUAAUUGAUGAUGAUACCGAGAUGGCGGUUAAAAAUCCGGUCAGCAGCACAGCGAGGGGCUGGGGCUAAGCCAGUGCUGCCCUUAUUCAGUGCCAGCUUAAUCAAUUGAGCCUGAAGAACUUCCCCCACCAGCAGCCGUGUAUGAGGUAGCCCUCCUGUGGGUCCAAACAGAGCCGAUGCUGUCUCGGCAACUCCUCUCAUCUUUUAAAAGAAAAACCUGACUGACUAUCAACAAAAUUUGCCUCAAAGGAGGAGAGAGAAAAAAGAAAAACUGACAAGGUUGACCUGAAACAAUUUUUGUUACUGUUUUAAUCACCACACUGAAAAAAAUCAGUUAUUUGCACAGCUCUAAUGGCAGAGGACUAUGACAUGGGAUUAAGCGGAGAGUGGAUGCAGACAACUAUCUAACUGGUUGGGCCAGUACACUAAGGGUCUAAGAUGCAACAGACAACAUCCAAACGGUGCCGUCAGGAGCCCCAGUCGUGGACUAGGAUCCCACUGUGCUAGGUGCUGUACAAAUAGAGUCCUGCCCCCACAAUCAAACUGUACAACAAGCAACAGCAGAUGGAUACAGACAGAUGGAGUGCAAAGAAACAAUCCAACAAUAUUGGUCAGCAAGGCAAUGGUAUCCGCACCGGGGCAGUCAAACCGUUGUCAAGCUUUUUGUGGGCAUCACACCAAGGCAAAACCUAUUUUGAUACCCUGAUCUCGGAGGGGAAUCGUAGCUGUUGAAGCUGAGAUUCACAAGGCGGGGACUGAGGUGCUGCAUUGGAAGAGGAACACUGGAACCUGGGUCUCUCACCACCCAGACUUAUGGAAAGAGACCUUCUAAAAACGUUGAAGUGUAUUACCGGCACGCAAAACCUUAAAUCAGAGUGACUAAAUGAAGACUCGGCACAGCACUUCUGAAAGGUUGCCAACCCCUGCCCUAGAGGAUUUUGGAGUGCCUAUAGGAAGCUUAGACCUACCUACAUCUCCAUGUGGAAGAUGGAUUAACACCUGGGGGCUGGUGACUCUUCAAUAGACUCCAUCAAUCAAAUCAGGCAGAGUAAUCUUUAGAGACCACGAUCGAAGUUACAGCUGUGCACCAGGAUACCUGCAAGGAACAGACCAGACAGACACAUAAGAACAGUCCUUGAUCCUUAAGGCUGGUGGACCACUCACCAACGUUCUGACUGGAUAGAAUUUACAAGUGCAAUAUACUGAGUUAUAAAAAAAGCGACAGCAAUAUUAACAAGUACUAGGCAAAUAACAGUGUCACUUAAUAUACUAUUUAGAGCACAAACCUGUGUUGUUAAAACCCACAUUUGUAAAGGAAGCAUUAGACCAAUUAGUUGAAGGGACACAGUUAAAACAAAGAUGGUAUAAAAACAGCUGAUAUGCAGAUAUCCUGUAAAACUGUAUCCUGAAUAGUAAACUUGAUAAGUACCUGGAUCAUCAUUUGCUUCAUCCUCAUCUGCACUAAUCCCUCUUUCAAUUUCAAAUAUUUCAAACAGAUUAUUGCUCACUCCAGGCUGUCGUGGAACUGGAAGAGAAAGUAAUUUUGAAAGAAAUGAAUGAGGUAGAUAAAAAAUAGUCAAUGACCUACUUACUUAUCUUUAAUAAAAGGCAGAGAGAAAGCCUCAGGCUUAUGCUCUUCUUGAUUAAUUCAAUAUAUUUAAUUAAAUCUCACA